AUAUCUCUCUGUACGGGAAGGAUGAGAAGCUUCGACUAAGGUUCGAUUCGAGCGAAAGCGAGAAAGCGUUGCCGCAGGCAACGACCCGAAGGG
rnacentral:sRNA from 1 species